GAUGAACGCUGGCGGCGUGCCUAAUACAUGCAAGUCGAGCGAACAGACGAGGAGCUUGCUCCUUUGACGUUAGCGGCGGACGGGUGAGUAACACGUGGGUAACCUACCUAUAAGACUGGGAUAACUUCGGGAAACCGGAGCUAAUACCGGAUAAUAUUUCGAACCGCAUGGUUCGAUAGUGAAAGAUGGCCCUGCUAUCACUUAUAGAUGGACCUGCGCCGUAUUAGCUAGUUGGUAAGGUAACGGCUUACCAAGGCAACGAUACGUAGCCGACCUGAGAGGGUGAUCGGCCACACUGGAACUGAGACACGGUCCAGACUCCUACGGGAGGCAGCAGUAGGGAAUCUUCCGCAAUGGGCGAAAGCCUGACGGAGCAACGCCGCGUGAGUGAUGAAGGUCUUCGGAUCGUAAAACUCUGUUAUUAGGGAAGAACAAACGUGUAAGUAACUGUGCACGUCUUGACGGUACCUAAUCAGAAAGCCACGGCUAACUACGUG
rnacentral:rRNA from 1 species